rnacentral:miRNA from 1 species
UUAGAUGACCAUCAACAAACU